rnacentral:rRNA from 1 species
AUACGGAGGGUGCAAGCGUUAUCCGGAUUCACUGGGUUUAAAGGGUGCGUAGGCGGGUAUGUAAGUCCGUGGUGAAAUCUCCGAGCUUAACUCGGAAACUGCCAUGGGUACUGCGUAUCUUGAAUGUUGUGGAGGUGAGCGGAAUAUGUCAUGUAGCGGUGAAAUGCUUAGAUAUGACAUGGAACACCAAUUGCGUAGGCAGCUUACUACACGAUCAUUGACGCUGAGGCACGAAAGCGUGGGGAGC